AGAACGAACGCUGGCGGCGUGCCUAACACAUGCAAGUCGAACGAGAAAGUGGAGCAAUCCAUGAGUAAAGUGGCGCACGGGUGAGUAACACGUGACUAACCUACCCUUGAGUGGGGGAUAACCUAGAGAAUCUGGGCUAAUACCGCAUAAUACCUUCGGGUCAAAGGAGCAAUUCGCUUAAGGAGGGGGUCGCGGCCCGAUUAGUUAGUUGGCGGGGUAAUGGCCCACCAAGACUAUGAUCGGUA
rnacentral:rRNA from 1 species